UACAGCUUUGUCAAAUUCAGCGCUUCCUUUAUAAUGGACCGCACUGGCCAAAAUGUCUGCCACAGUGAACCUGUAGUUAAUGGGCCUCACAUCCCAUUUUCCAUGGAUGAUGGGGAUAAAUUUGUACUACGGACAAUA
ensembl:snoRNA